UGCAUCUUGUAUUGAAGUUGGUGUCAAGCAGCUAAGAUCAUUGUACCUUUAAUAGAAGCAUUCCAUGCAAUGUGUGCAUUUUUUUUCCCCCCUAGGUUGAUGUUGGCUAGAAUGCUGUCUCUACUGACCAGGAGGCUGGGGUGAAACUAAAGUGUUUCUCUUUUGAUCGCUCUUCUCCUUUGCCUUCACCUGGGCUUCUUUCCGGCCUGCAGAUCCAGGGGACUCUCCUCCUUGGAAGAAAACAAUCCCCCACAUCGAGAUGCCACCAAUGUCCUCAUUUUACAACUUGUACCCCUACUGCUAUAUGACAGGAUCAAGAGAGACACCUGUUAUGGUAUUAAAAGGGUACAUGGAGAUUGAGGAGAACCAGUAUCACAACCAAGCUGGGGGACUCAAUGAAGAGUUGCUCCUUCAGCAAAUGAGCUUCACUAAAGGAAACCAACCCUGAAUAUUCAUUGGAAGGACUGACGCUGAAACUGAAGC
ensembl:lncRNA